CUGCUCACCUCCCUUAUUCAAGUCCGAUCUCUGUUCUGUCUCCUUCAGGUCAUACUUGAGCUCCAGGGGCAUGCCUGGUGCCCAGUCCCUGUUUCUCUGAAAGGCGGGUGAAACUUACUUCCAUCAAACUGUGAUAGAGGUCAAGAUGGUCCUUUCUUGAAGCCCACGUCAAUUGCACAAGCCCAGCACAGUAUGGGAAGAAGAGGGGUGAAAACUUAAUCUGCCUGUCUGUCCUCCAUCUCUCUCUUGCUUUUCAGGCAGCCUCCUCUUUGGAAUUUUCUUGGCCACUUUCAUUAGCUUCUAUCAGGCAAAUUUGACACCCUCCACCCAGGAGAACUUUCAGGCCUGUUUGCUUAGACCUCUUGUGUCUCACAUAAUUGAAAGCCUAAGGCUUUGGUUGGAUGCAAAUAGCAUGUGUUCUUUGUCUGGUCAUUGUCAGUUGCACAGGUUUGGGGUGUUAGUUCCUGUCUCCUGAACUGAGGAUGCUCUAGUUCAGUUUAGUUUUCCCAUGAGUAAGAGAUUAAUUUUCCAAAGAAUCCAGCCCAACUUGCCAAGCCUAAUAUCGAUUUUUUUAUGUCC
rnacentral:lncRNA from 1 species